CGUAGUCGGGUUUCGGGUCGGGCCGAGCGGUCUGCCGAUGGGUAUGCACUGUUUGGCGCGGCCUUCUUUCCGGAGACCGCGGCUACUCUUAACUGAGCGGGCGUGGGAGACGGAUCGUUUACUUUGAAAAAAUCAGAGUGUUUCAAGCAGGCAGCUCGCUCUUGCAUGGUACAGCAUGGGAUGAUUGAAUAGGACUCCGGUGCUAUUUUGUUGGUUUCGAACACCAGGAGUAAUGAUUAACAGGGACAGUCAGGGGCACUCGUAUUCCGUCGAGAGAGGUGAAAUUCUCAGACCAAUGGAAGACGAACCACUGCGAAAGCAUUUGCCAGGGAUGUUUUCACUGAUCAAGAACGAAAGUUAGGGGAUCGAAGACGAUCAGAUACCGUCGUAGUCUUAACCAUAAACCAUGCCGACUAGGGAUUGGAGGGUGUUCGUUUCGACCUCUUCAGCACCUUACGGGAAACUAAAGUCUUUGGGUUCCGGGGGGAGUAUGGUCGCAAGGCUGAAACUUAAAGGAAUUGACGGAAGGGCACCACCAGGAGUGGAGCCUGCGGCUUAAUUUGACUCAACACGGGGAAACUUACCAGGUCCAGACAUUGUUAGGAUUGACAGAUUGAGAGCUCUUUCUUGAUUCGAUGGGUGGUGGUGCAUGGCCGUUCUUAGUUGGUGGAGUGAUUUGUCUGGUUAAUUCCGAUAACGAACGAGACCGUAGCCUGCUAAAUAGUCCCGCGAACUUCUUGUUGGCGGCCGACUUCUUAGAGGGACAACUUGUGACCAACAAGUGGAAGUUUGCGGCAAUAACAGGUCUGU
rnacentral:rRNA from 1 species